rnacentral:rRNA from 1 species
UGGGGAAUCUUGGACAAUGGGGGCAACCCUGAUCCAGCCAUGCCGCGUGUGUGAAGAAGGCCUUCGGGUUGUAAAGCACUUUCAGUAGGGAGGAAGGCUUACCGCUAAUAACGGUGAGUACUUGACGUUACCUACAGAAGAAGCACCGGCUAAUUUCGUGCCAGCAGCCGCGGUAAUACGAAAGGUGCGAGCGUUAAUCGGAAUUACUGGGCGUAAAGCGCGCGUAGGCGGUUUGUUAAGUCAGAUGUGAAAGCCCCGGGCUCAACCUGGGAAUUGCAUUUGAAACUGGCAGGCUAGAGUGCAGUAGAGGGAGGUGGAAUUUCCGGUGUAGCGGUGAAAUGCGUAGAGAUCGGAAGGAACACCAGUGGCGAAGGCGGCCUCCUGGACUGACACUGACGCUGAGGUGCGAAAGCGUGGGGAGCAAACAGG